rnacentral:rRNA from 1 species
CUCCCGGCUCUCUGAUGAUCAGAGUGCUCAAGCAGGCUGUUAGAGCUUGAUAUUCUUGCAUGGAAUAAUAAAAUAGGAAGUCGUUUCUAUAUUGUUGGUUUUCGGAAAUCGACUUAAUGAUUAAUAGGGACAGUCGGGGGCAUUAGUAAUCAGACGACAGAGGUGAAAUUCUUGGACCGUCUGAAGACUAACUACUGCGAAAGCAUUUGCCAAGAAUGUUUUCAUUAAUCAAGAACGAAAGUUAGAGGUUCGAAGGCGAUCAGAUACCGCCCUAGUUCUAACCAUAAACGAUGCUACCUAGCGAUCCGCAGUUGUUUAUUAUUACGACUCUGCGGGAAGCUUCCGGGAAACCAAAGGGUUUGAGUUCCGGGGGAAGUAUGGUUGCAAAGCUGAAACUUAAAAGAAUUGACGGAAGGGCACCACCAGGAGUGGAGCCUGCGGCUUAAUUUGACUCAACACGGGAAAUCUCACCAGGCCCGGACACUGUGAGGAUUGACAGAUUGAGAGCUCUUUCUCGAUUCGGUGGGUGGUGGUGCAUGGCCGUUCUUAGUUGGUGGAGUGAUUUGUCUGGUUAAUUCCGAUAACGAACGAGACUCUGUCCUGCUAAAUAGUUUCAAUGUCAUUUUUUUUGCGUUGAAAAUUCUUCUUAGAGGGACUGGUAGCGUCUAGCUACACGAGAUUGAGCAAUAACAGGUCUGUGAUGCCCUUAGAUGUUCUGGGCUGCACGCGCGCUACACUGAAAGGAUCAGCGUGUUUUCCCUGAUCGAGAGAUUCGGGUAACCCGUUGAACCCCUUUCGUGGCUAGGGAUCGGGGCUUGCAAUUAUUCCCCGUGAACCAGGAAUUCCCAAUAAGCGUAAUUCAUAGGCUUACUUUGAUUACUUCCCUGCCCUUUGUACAAAGUGCUGGCCUUCCCAUGGGUGUCUUGGGAUACUGUCGGGUUUACUUUGAAAAAAUUAGAGUGCUCAAAGCAGGCUGUUAAAAGCUUGAAUAUUCGUGCAUGGAAUAAUAAAUAGGAAGUCGUUUCUAUUUUGUUGGUUUUCGGAAAUCGACUUAAUGAUUAAUAGGGACAGUCGGGGGCAUUAGUAUUCAGACGACAGAGGUGAAAUUCUUGGACCGUCUGAAGACUAACUACUGCGAAAGCAUUUGCCAAGAAUGUUUUCAUUAAUCAAGAACGAAAGUUAGAGGUUCGAAGGCGAUCAGAUACCGCCCUAGUUCUAACCAUAAACGAUGCUACCUAGCGAUCCGCAGUUGUUUAUUAUUACGACUCUGCGGGAAGCUUCCGGGAAACCAAAGGGUUUGAGUUCCGGGGGAAGUAUGGUUGCAAAGCUGAAACUUAAAAGAAUUGACGGAAGGGCACCACCAGGAGUGGAGCCUGCGGCUUAAUUUGACUCAACACGGGAAAUCUCACCAGGCCCGGACACUGUUAGGAUUGACAGAUUGAGAGCUCUUUCUCGAUUCGGUGGGUGGUGGUGCAUGGCCGUUCUUAGUUGGUGGAGUGAUUUGUCUGGUUAAUUCCGAUAACGAACGAGACUCUGUCCUGCUAAAUAGUUUCAAUGUCAUUUUUUUUGCGUUGAAAAUUCUUCUUAGAGGGACUGGUAGCGUCUAGCUACACGAGAUUGAGCAAUAACAGGUCUGUGAUGCCCUUAGAUGUUUUGGGCUGCACGCGCGCUACACUGAAAGGAUCAGCGUGUUUUCCCUGAUCGAGAGAUUCGGGUAACCCGUUGAACCCCUUUCGUGGCUAGGGAUCGGGGCUUGCAAUUAUGCCCCGUAACCAGGAAUGCACAGUAAGUGUAAGACCUACGAAGA